rnacentral:rRNA from 1 species
GAUGAACGCUAGCGGCAGGCUUAACACAUGCAAGUCGAGGGGUAUUGGUUUUCGGACCAAGAGACCGGCGCACGGGUGCGUAACGCGUAUGCAAUCUACCUUUUGCAGAGGGAUAGCCCCAGAGAAAUUUGGAUUAAUACCUCAUAGUAUAGUACUUUGGCAUCAAGGAACUAUUAAAGUCACAACGGCAAAAGAUGAGCAUGCGUCCCAUUAGCUAGUUGGUAAGGUAACGGCUUACCAAGGCUACGAUGGGUAGGGGUCCUGAGAGGGAGAUCCCCCACACUGGUACUGAGACACGGACCAGACUCCUACGGGAGGCAGCAGUGAGGAAUAUUGAACAAUGGGCGCAAGCCUGAUCCAGCCAUGCCGCGUGCAGGAUGACGGUCCUAUGGAUUGUAAACUGCUUUUAUACAGGAAGAAACACUACUUCGUGAAGUAGCUUGACGGUACUGUAGGAAUAAGGAUCGGCUAACUCCGUGCCAGCAGCCG